GUGGGGAAUCUUGCGCAAUGGGCGAAAGCCUGACGCAGCCAUGCCGCGUGAAUGAUGAAGGUCUUAGGAUUGUAAAAUUCUUUCACCGGGGACGAUAAUGACGGUACCCGGAGAAGAAGCCCCGGCUAACUUCGUGCCAGCAGCCGCGGUAAUACGAAGGUCCCAAGCGUUGUUCGGAAUCACUGGGCGUAAAGGGAGCGUAGGCGGCGUGGUAAGUCAGAUGUGAAAUCCCGGGGCUCAACCCCGGAACUGCAUCCGAUACUGCCAUGCUUGAGGGUUGGAGAGGUAGCUGGAAUUCUCGGUGUAGCAGUGAAAUGCGUGGAUAUCGAGAGGAACACUCGUGGCGAAGGCGAGCUACUGGACAACAUCUGACGCUGAGGCUCGAAGGCUAGGGGAGCAAAAGGGAUUAGAAACCCGUGUAGUCC
rnacentral:rRNA from 1 species